ensembl:lncRNA
AUGGAUGGCCUCUCUUCCUCUGACAGAUGCUGUAGAAUCACUCAGCCAUGCCAGCCUGGCUGGUUACCGGGGGGCAACCCUGUAAAUCUGACAUUACGGGCUGUUGACAGGAGAAACGGUUGUUAUCAUAACCCACAUCUGGGUGUUCCAGCAGUAAUGGUGUGUGCUGUGGGAGCAGCAGGAAUGGCCAUUACCAUCCAUGGAUCACUGGUGGGGGCCGGCACGCGGUGGACUAGGACGAGGGAAGGAGGAGCACAGGGAAGUAAGCCAUCGACCUCAGAAGCCAUCGGCCUUCGGCCCGGCGAUGGCGAAGCGUCCGGCGAGGUGCCUCCACGUCGGGGCAACCAGGACGUCCUGUUUCUGCAAAAAUGUCCACAGGCCGACUCCGCAGCACGACAUUCUGAACCCGCGAGGAGCUCCGUCAGCGGCGGGUGA